GGUUUCCAGGAGGUGAGAAGCACAUCUCCCACCAACAUGUCCUGUGCACCCUGGGCCUGCAGCACCAGAACUGAGCUGGGGACCUAGGAGCACAUGGGCUGUUGUUAUGACAACAUAACUCACAGUGAAGAAAGACUCUUCUUUAACACAACAGUUGUCCACAUCAUGGAGGAAGCUUUGCACAUCGACCUUAGAUGGGAUACAAUUCAGUCUGAAAUGGUCGCCUGACACUGACAGACAGCCUCUGGAGUUAGCAGAGUUGGGGGUGUUUGUGCUCAGUAGUUCUGCAGCGGCACGCACAGCCAGUGCACUUUGUCUCGCCUGUGACUGGGCUCUAGUCGGGAGAAACAGCUCUCCCUGAACCUUUUUGCUCAAGCCUCGUGGUGGUGGGAAAGCGAUGAAGUUAAAGAGGCCCAGCCGAGCUUCGGGGCUUCACUGUGCUCACCCCCGCGCCAGCAGAGAGUGAAUUUACCUGUUCUGUGCUGUGCUGAAAUUGGCUGUGCUCGCCGACCUAAAAUGCGCUCCGCAGAGCGAAGAUUGACAGCAUUUCACCUCCGCUAAUUACGAUGAAGCUC